CACUAACUUAAAUUUCGUACUCGGUAAAAUGUGUUAUACCGAGCCGAUUUUUAUCAUUCAAAAGUCGUUAUGAGGUGCUAGUUAAUGUUUAAUAAUAUUUUUGGAAAGAAAAUAGUGAAAUUAUGUCUUUAAAUAGAAGUUCAUAUGCACCAGCCAAAUAUAGUAGAAUUUAUCAGUGAGAUUAAUCUGUGAAUAAACAAUUUUAAUUACUUGUGUGAUUAUAAAGAUGUGGGUAACCCACAUCUUUAUAUACGACUUUUCAUGGACCUCGACCUGCUAUGAACCCAUCCACAGAGAGUUAAAUUGAUCCUAUCGCAUGAAUUAUAGCAGAGUUAAAUUAACCCAUCCACAGACAGAAAGUUGAUCCUAUCGUAAUGCAUAAUGGCACUAGAGUUAAAAUAACCCAUCCAUAAAUUAUCCUAUCACAAAGCAUAAUGGGAGAGCCCGCGUUAUUCGAGAAAAAAGUUUAGUGUCGCCAUUUUCUGUGUCUCGAUGAUGUUGAACAAAAAUGAAGAUUUUAAUUGAUUUUUUUCGUUUUUUUAUUGGAUUGUGUUUGAAGCUUAAUUGGAAGAGCAAUUAACAUCAGAUAUAGACUAUAUAGGAAUCGGACAUCAGACAAUAUUUGGAUUUACGAUAGCCAGUCAUCUGCUGACAUAAUGUUGAGGAAGUUUUGUAUUUUCCCGUUUUUUAUUUUAUGCAUCGCUUUUAUCAUAUACAGUUUACUAACGGUGGUAUUUGUACAUGAGUCAGCCAGACAAACAAUUCCAAUCCCGAAG
rnacentral:lncRNA from 1 species